rnacentral:rRNA from 1 species
UGGGGAAUUUUGGACAAUGGGCGAAAGCCUGAUCCAGCAAUGCCGCGUGUGUGAAGAAGGCCUUCGGGUUGUAAAGCACUUUUGUCCGGAAAGAAAUCCUUGGCUCUAAUACAGUCGGGGGAUGACGGUACCGGAAGAAUAAGCACCGGCUAACUACGUGCCAGCAGCCGCGGUAAUACGUAGGGUGCAAGCGUUAAUCGGAAUUACUGGGCGUAAAGCGUGCGCAGGCGGUUUGCUAAGACCGAUGUGAAAUCCCCGGGCUCAACCUGGGAACUGCAUUUGGUGACUGGCAGGCUAGAGUAUGGCAGAGGGGGGUAGAAUUCCACGUGUAGCAGUGAAAUGCGUAGAGAUGUGGAGGAAUACCGAUGGCGAAGGCAGCCCCCUGGGCCAAUACUGACGCUCAUGCACGAAAGCGUGGGGAGCAAACAGGAUUAGAUACCCUGGUAGUCCACGCCCUAAACGAUGUCAACUAGUUGUUGGGGAUUCAUUUCCUUAGUAACGUAGCUAACGCGUGAAGUUGACCGCCUGGGGAGUACGGUCGCAAGAUUAAAACUCAAAGGAAUUGACGGGGUCAUAGCUGUUU